GCCAUCUUACGCCCGUCGCCCUGAGUACGUUAGCGGAAAUGGCUCCGAGAGGCUUUGACGCAUGUGUACCUUUUUAGUGGCGGUAUCUCGGCCGGGGAUUUUCGGGCUCCAGUGGAGGUGGCUAUGCUCACCCCAUCUCCCUUGAGAGGCACAGAAGGUUAGAGAUGUGUGCGAGGAACGGCCAGGUCCAGCGUCUCCUCGUUGCUGCCCCUUGAGCCCGGGACCGGCGCCAAUGCGCGCCCGGGUUCUUGGGUUCUUUCGUCCCGCAGACCUGCCUUGGUGUGGCGUCCCUGGGCCGUAGCUUCCGAAGGCUGCAGCCGACCUGGUCGGGGUCCUCUAGCCCGCCUUCCCCUUCCCCCAUUGACAGAUGGAGAAACUGAGGCCCAGGCCAAAAAAUAUCUCACUAGAGGGCUCACCGCCAUUUCCUGGAAAAAUUGGGGCUGGGACUCAACGGACGCUCGUCCAGCAGCAGCGCGGAGCUCCGAAGUAAAGGCGCCCGUGACCGAGUGCUUUGUCCUUACAAGCGUGGUGUUCUUGAAUGCUUCCAGGCGCCUUAUGAGGCCCCCGAUGUACAAUCUGUGCUUAACUAAACCCCACUGUCUUCCAGGGUCAGGUUGGCCAUCCGCAGGCGUAGUUGCUAGGAAGGUUUGACAGAUGUCCGCCUGUUGAUUCAGACGUUCCCAGGAUUUGGAGCAAGAAGAGCAAGGAAGGCCAGGCGCGGUGGCUCACGUUUGUAAUCCCAGCACUUUGGGAGGCCGAGGCGGGCGGAUCACGAGGUCAGGAGUUCGAGACCAGCCUGGCCAGCAUGGUGAAACCCCGUCUCUACUAAAAAUACAAAAGAAAAUUAGCCGGGUGUGGUGGCACAUGCCUGUAGUCCCACCUACUUGGGAGGCUGAGGCAGGAGAAUUGUUUGACCUGGCAGGCGGAGGUUGCAGUGAGCCGAGAUUGCGCCACUGCACUCCAGUCUGGGCGACAGAGCGAGACUCUGUCUCAGAAAAAAAAAAGAGCAAGGAGGUGUUGAAAAUGGGUUUCCUGGCUGGGCGUGGUGGCUCACGCUUGUAAUCCCAGCACUUUGGGAAGCUGAGGUGGGCGGAUCACUUGAGGUCAGGAGUUUGAGACCAGCCUGGCCAACAUGGUGAAACACCGUCUCCACUAAAAAUAGAAAAAUUAACUGGGUGUGGUGGAGGGCGCCUGUAAUCCCAGCUAAUCAGGAAGCUGAGACAGGAGGAUCGCUUGAACCCAGGAGGCGGAGGUUGCAGUGAGCCGAGAUUGCUCCAUUGCACUCCAGCCUGGGCGAUAGAGUGAGACUCAGCCUCAAAAAAAAAAAAAAAAAAAAAUUCGCCAGGUGUGGUGGUGUGCGCCUAUAAUCCCAGCUACUCAGGAGGCAGAGGCACAAGAAUGGCUUGAAUCACUUGAACCUGGGAGGCAGAGGUUACAAUGAGCCGAGAUGGCACCACUGCACUCCAGCCUGGGCGACAGAGCGAGACUCCGACUUCCCAUCUUAAAAAAAAAAAAAAAAAAAAAAAAGAAGUGUAAAGAUGUGAUUAUGUGGCAGGGGGUAAGGGUUAAAAAGAAAACAAGAACAAGUUUUCCUCUGCUUAGCCAGCUUACUUCAAGGACAGUUAUAACACUGAAAAGUCGAGGCCAAAGGAAUGGGCUCCAGACAGCCUCCUCCGGAGCAAAGUUGAAAAGAAAAAUUCCUUUACUGUCUCUCCUUUUCUGAACCAUUAAAUAUGACUGUUUGCCAAUGGUUGUAUUUAGUAAGAUUUGUAGACUCUGUUUUUCUUUUGACACAGCUGCAAGGCCAACAGCUGUGCAAAGCCACAAGUUAUGCUAAGUCAGCAGUUAUGCUAUAGAUUACAUGACCUGUGACUGUAUCAUUAACUGCUUUUGUUUUGCUUCUGUAAGUUUGCCUAUAAAAACCACACUCAGUCUUUGUUCAAUGGUCAGCUUUUCAGAUACAAAUCCACUGAGCCGGUGUACAUCUAAAUAAAUCCUCCUGUUUCCCGUGUCA
ensembl:lncRNA ILF3-DT ILF3 divergent transcript